rnacentral:rRNA from 1 species
AGAGCGAACGCUGGCGGCAGGCUUAACACAUGCAAGUCGAGCGGGCAUAGCAAUAUGUCAGCGGCAGACGGGUGAGUAACGCGUGGGAACAUACCUUUUGGUUCGGAACAACACAGGGAAACUUGUGCUAAUACCGGAUAAGCCCUUACGGGGAAAGAUUUAUCGCCGAAAGAUUGGCCCGCGUCUGAUUAGCUAGUUGGUGGGGUAACGGCCCACCAAGGCGACGAUCAGUAGCUGGUCUGAGAGGAUGAUCAGCCACAUUGGGACUGAGACACGGCCCAAACUCCUACGGGAGGCAGCAGUGGGAAUAUUGGACAAUGGGCGCAAGCCUGAUCCAGCCAUGCCGCGUGAGUGAUGAAGGCCCUAGGGUUGUAAAGCUCUUUUGUGCGGGAAGAUAAUGACGGUACCGCAAGAAUAAGCCCCGGCUAACUUCGCGCCAGCAGCCGC